rnacentral:rRNA from 1 species
UGGGGAAUUUUGGACAAUGGGCGAAAGCCUGAUCCAGCAAUGCCGCGUGUGUGAAGAAGGCCUUCGGGUUGUAAAGCACUUUUGUCCGGAAAGAAAUCCUUGGCUCUAAUACAGUCGGGGGAUGACGGUACCGGAAGAAUAAGCACCGGCUAACUACGUGCCAGCAGCCGCGGUAAUACGUAGGGUGCAAGCGUUAAUCGGAAUUACUGGGCGUAAAGCGUGCGCAGGCGGUUUGCUAAGACCGAUGUGAAAUCCCCGGGCUCAACCUGGGAACUGCAUUGGUGACUGGCAGGCUAGAGUAUGGCAGAGGGGGGUAGAAUUCCACGUGUAGCAGUGAAAUGCGUAGAGAUGUGGAGGAAUACCGAUGGCGAAGGCAGCCCCCUGGGCAAUACUGACGCUCAUGCACGAAAGCGUGGGGGAGCAAACAGGAUUAGAUACCCUGGUAGUCCACGCCCUAAACGAUGUCAACUAGUUGUUGGGGAUUCAUUUCCUUAGUAACGUAGCUAACGCGUGAAGUUGACCGCCUGGGGAGUACGGUCGCAAGAUUAAAACUUAAAUG